rnacentral:snRNA from 1 species
CAUCCUUCUUGGCCUUUUGGCUAAGGUCAAGUGUAGUAUCCAUUCUUCUCAGUUUAACAUCUGACACAUACCUGGAGAUGAAGCUCUCUCCUCCCCUGGCUAGACUGUAAGGUCCUUGAAGGCUAGAACUAUUUCACUUUUGUCUUUGUAUUGUCAGUGUCUAACACAAUGCCAGGCACAUAGGCGCUUAAUAAAUGUUUGUUGGUUGACUAAUUGAUUAAUAUUUCCACUUUG